rnacentral:rRNA from 1 species
UACAGAGGGGGAGCAGCAGUUAUUUCGGAAUUCGAAUUGGUGCGUAAAGAGCUCGUAGGCGGUCUGUCGCGUCGGAUGUGAAAACCCGAGGCUUAACCUCGGGCCUGCAGUCGAUACGGGCAGACUAGAGUUCGGUAGGGGAGACUGGAAUUCCUGGUGUAGCGGUGAAAUGCGCAGAUAUCAGGAGGAACACCGGUGGCGAAGGCGGGUCUCUGGGCCGAUACUGACGCUGAGGAGCGAAAGCGUGGGGAGCGAACAGG